rnacentral:rRNA from 1 species
CCUACGGGAGGCAGCAGUGAGGAAUAUUGGUCAAUGGACGAGAGUCUGAACCAGCCAAGUAGCGUGAAGGAUGACUGCCCUAUGGGUUGUAAACUUCUUUUAUAUGGGAAUAAAAUGUUCCACGUGUGGGAUUUUGUAUGUACCAUAUGAAUAAGGAUCGGCUAACUCCGUGCCAGCAGCCGCGGUAAUACGGAGGAUCCGAGCGUUAUCCGGAUUUAUUGGGUUUAAAGGGAGCGUAGGUGGAUUGUUAAGUCAGUUGUGAAAGUUUGCGGCUCAACCGUAAAAUUGCAGUUGAAACUGGCAGUCUUGAGUACAGUAGAGGUGGGCGGAAUUCGUGGUGUAGCGGUGAAAUGCUUAGAUAUCAGGAAGAACUCCGAUUGCGAAGGCAGUUCACUGGACUGCAACUGACACUGAGGCUCGAAAGUGUGGGUAUCAAACAGGAUUAGAUACCCGUGUAGUC